AACGAACGCUGGCGGCGUGCCUAACACAUGCAAGUCGUGCGAGAAAGUUCCUUCGGGAGCGAGUAAAGCGGCGCACGGGUGAGUAACACGUAGGUAACCUGCCCCCCAGUCUGGAACAACUAGAGGAAACUCUAGCUAAUGCCGGAUGAGACCACGAUCCCUUCGGGGGUUGCGGCCAAAGAUGGCCUCUACUUGUAAGCUAUCGCUGAGGGAUGGGCCUGCGGGCCAUUAGCUUGUUGGUGAGGUAACGGCUCACCAAGGCUGUGAUGGCUAGCUGGUCUGAGAGGAUGACCAGCCACACUGGGACUGAGACACGGCCCAGACUCCUACGGGAGGCAGCAGUGGGAAUACUGCGCAAUGGGCGAAAGCCUGACGCAGCGACGCCGCGUGGGU
rnacentral:rRNA from 1 species